rnacentral:tRNA from 1 species
GGUUGUGACUCAGUGGUAGAGUGCUUGCCUAGCACACGUGAGGCACUGGGUUCAAUACUAAGCACCA